UGGGGAAUAUUGCACAAUGGGCGCAAGCCUGAUGCAGCCAUGCCGCGUGUGUGAAGAAGGCCUUCGGGUUGUAAAGCACUUUCAGCGGGGAGGAAGGGGUUAAGGUUAAUACCUUUGCUCAUUGACGUUACCCGCAGAAGAAGCACCGGCUAACUCCGUGCCAGCAGCCGCGGUAAUACGGAGGGUGCAAGCGUUAAUCGGAAUUACUGGGCGUAAAGCGCACGCAGGCGGUUUGUUAAGUCAGAUGUGAAAUCCCCGGGCUCAACCUGGGAACUGCAUCUGAUACUGGCAAGCUUGAGUCUCGUAGAGGGGGGUAGAAUUCCAGGUGUAGCGGUGAAAUGCGUAGAGAUCUGGAGGAAUACCGGUGGCGAAGGCGGCCCCCUGGACGAAGACUGACGCUCAGGUGCGAAAGCGUGGGGAGCAAACAGG
rnacentral:rRNA from 1 species